CACAGUUAUUAGAAAUAAUGUGCGAUUUGUCACAUAAACUUGACUUAAUGUUUAUUGCAUCACAGAAAACUCUGUUGGAGCUCACGUGGAAUGGUGGCAUUUUGAUCUUCAGUAAAACGUGCAGCACGAGUUUGCAACAAACUUCAUCGUUUAAAAAAACUCUGUUGGAGCUCACGUGGAAUGGUGGCAUUUUGAUCUUCAGUAAAACGUGCAGCACGAGAUCGCGACAAACUUCAUCGUUUAAAAAAACUCUGUUGGAGCUCACGUGGAAUGGUGGCAUUUUGAUCUUCAGUAAAACGUGCAGCACGAGAUCGCGACAAACUUCAUCGUUUAAACAAAGACACAUCGCCAAUAGACAGACAGACCAGAGGGAUAAAAAUGGGAAUUCUGGCGAUAACUGAGGAUGAUGUCGCCUCUAGCGAAUUGCCAACCUUUCAAAACUUUGCGAUUGUUUUGGAGGAGGCAAUUGUUCUGAAGGACAUUCCAGACCUUCCAUCUGCGGUUUCAUACCUGUUUGGCCUUGUCUUUGCCUUGAAUUUUGAAUACCCCAAAGAACUGAAAUAUACUUUUGAAGUAAUUGAGAAGGUGUUCAUGGAAAUGGGGACUCAGUGCUCUGCGAGGGUACAGUCCUUAAAAACAAAACUCUUGCUGUGAAAGUUAAAUUGUGUGAAUUGAAGUUGGAACAGAGUAUGUUAAAAGGUAAAACAGAUUGUUGAAUUGUUGUGAAUUGUUUACCCAUGUUCAGGUAUGUUUUAAGACUGUUUAAAGGGACACUUCACCCAUUUGCAUUAAGCCUUGUAUAGUUAGAACCCCAGUCAUGUUUUUGAAUGGUCGUGCAUCAUUUCCUCGGUUGCCACUGAGACAGGAGAAAUACAGAUUUCAGUGUUGCACUUCCUUCUUUCAAUGAUGUAAAAAUCAUCAUUUUGCAUCAUUGAAAGAAGGAAGUCCAAUAUCUUUGUUGAGGGGGUGAGACUACAAACACUCCUUUUCUCGGUCAGAUAGGCACCAAAUUCUAAAUGUAUGUUACAUUUUGACUACAAAUAUGACACACUUUCAAUAAAGAUCAAUGUUUCUAUGGGUGAAAUGCUCCUUUAAUGACAUUGUGAUGAUUUUUUGUUGUGAUAUGCACAUUGACACAUUUGCUCUACAAGGGUAUUAUUGCUGAGAACUGUUAAUUUAGUUGUGAGCAUCUUUUUAAUUAAACUAAGAUUAAGACUAAGAUUUUAACAUUAGGACAUUAAUAUUAAAGUUUUUGAAAUGUAACUUUGAAGUCUUACAAUGUCAUUUUAAUUGUUUUGUUUAUUUGUAUGCUUAUUUUUCAUUUUCAGAUUAUUUAUUGUAAUUUUAUUUGUAUUGUAAUUUGUGUUUGUACUUUUUUUACAAAUAUUUUAUACAAAAGUGUAUUUUUGUUAGAAAAAUUUUAAUUUAAUUUUACAUUUCAAAAGGUGGACUGACCAUCCAGUGUUGAACUGCAACGUUUACAUGUUCAUUGAUGUUUUGAUGUUUUAAGCAUUCUAAGGAAUAGAGUCAAAGCUUUUACAUGUGAAAAGGGAUACAUUUAUCUUUAGUUUUUAUGUUUUUAAUUUGUAUUAUUGAUUUUGACAUUUUCCAGUAUUUCUUUAUUUUUAUUAUAUUGACACUCAUAUUUUUUCUGUUAGGAAGUAUGACACUUAUUUGACCUUGUUUUUAUUUCUUUACAGAAUGUUCAAAGUAAACAAAACUUGAAGCAAGCAUUUGGUUUUAUUUUACAAGACUGUGUAAAUGCAAACUAGAACAGAAAAAGUUCACAUAACAUAAUUUGAGUUGUGUCAAAAAAGGAAUUAAGUCCAGUUAACUAACAAAACUGAGUUGGCU